ACGAACGCUGGCGGCAUGCCUAACACAUGCAAGUCGAACGAGACCUUCGGGUCUAGUGGCGCACGGGUGCGUAACGCGUGGGAACCUGCCCUUAGGUUCGGAAUAACUCCCCGAAAGGGGUGCUAAUACCGGAUAAUGUCUUCGGACCAAAGAUUUAUCGCCUUUGGAUGGGCCCGCGUUGGAUUAGCUAGUUGGUAGGGUAAAAGCCUACCAAGGCGACGAUCCAUAGCUGGUCUGAGACGAUGAUCAGCCACACUGGGACUGAGACACGGCCCAGACUCCUACGGGAGGCAGCAGUGGGGAAUAUUGGACAAUGGGCGAAAGCCUGAUCCAGCAAUGCCGCGUGAGUGAUGAAGGCCUUAGGGUUGUAAAGCUCUUUUACCCGGGAUGAUAAUGACAGUACCGGGAGAAUAAGCUCCGGCUAACUCCGUG
rnacentral:rRNA from 1 species